rnacentral:rRNA from 1 species
GUGGGGAAUAUUGGACAAUGGGCGCAAGCCUGAUCCAGCCAUACCGCGUGGGUGAAGAAGGCCUUCGGGUUGUAAAGCCCUUUUGUUGGGAAAGAAAUCCUGUCGGUUAAUACCUGGCGGGAAUGACGGUACCCAAAGAAUAAGCACCGGCUAACUUCGUGCCAGCAGCCGCGGUAAUACGAAGGGUGCAAGCGUUACUCGGAAUUACUGGGCGUAAAGCGUGCGUAGGUGGUGGUUUAAGUCAGUUGUGAAAGCCCUGGGCUCAACCUGGGAAUUGCAGUGGAUACUGGAUCACUAGAGUGUGGUAGAGGGAUGCGGAAUUUCUGGUGUAGCAGUGAAAUGCGUAGAGAUCAGAAGGAACAUCCGUGGCGAAGGCGGCAUCCUGGGCCAACACUGACACUGAGGCACGAAAGCGUGGGGAGCAAACAGGAUUAGAAACCCUAGUAGUCC